rnacentral:rRNA from 1 species
CGGCGGAGCAUGUGGAUUAAUUCGAUGCAACGCGAAGAACCUUACCUGGGUUUGACAUACACCGGAAAACCGUAGAGAUACGGUCCCCCUUGUGGUCGGUGUACAGGUGGUGCAUGGCUGUCGUCAGCUCGUGUCGUGAGAUGUUGGGUUAAGUCCCGCAACGAGCGCAACCCUUGUCUUAUGUUGCCAGCACGUGAUGGUGGGGACUCGUAAGAGACUGCCGGGGUCAACUCGGAGGAAGGUGGGGACGACGUCAAGUCAUCAUGCCCCUUAUGUCCAGGGCUUCACACAUGCUACAAUGGCCAGUACAGAGGGCUGCGAGACCGUGAGGUGGAGCGAAUCCCUUAAAGCUGGUCUCAGUUCGGAUCGGGGUCUGCAACUCGACCCCGUGAAGUCGGAGUCGCUAGUAAUCGCAGAUCAGCAACGCUGCGGUGAAUACGUUCCCGGGCCUU